rnacentral:lncRNA from 1 species
UAUCAUUCUUUAUGGUGUUAUCUGUUCAGCUGUGGAAUUGGAAGUGAAACUCAUGUUCACAUCCAUGCUAAAAUAAAUACCGUUGCAAAGGAUGGUACUGUUUGAGUGGGUGGUUGAUGAAACAGCUUUCCGUUCCUGGUCGAUAUAAUCCUCCCUGCAUUCAGCAAUAAACGCUGAAUUUAUUUGCUUUUUAUAUCCAGUUAGCAGAUAAUGGAUUUGGACCGUCAGAAGCGCCAGCAGGACAUAAGGAAAGCCCUGGGAUUCAUACAGUCGUCCUUGCCUUAUCCAGAUCCUCAAGGCUAUGGGGGGUUUCUGACCCAGUUGGUGUGUAACCUGUUGGAGGAGGGGAGUGCGGCGUUCAGUGAGGGUGCGUGGAAGCAGGCCAUAAAGGACUUCAGUGAGGGUGUUAACGUGGCUUACUAUGCCCAGGCUGAGUCUCUGGACAUCCCCUCAGCCCUGCUGGAGAGCCUGUAUGUCAAGAGAGCAGCUGCCUACCAAAGCGUGGGGGAGAACGAGCAGUGCGUGCAGGACUGCGACAAGGCGUUGGCACUGAACGAGGGCAGCUGUAAAGCACUCCACAGGAAGGCACUCUGCCUGCGGGAGCUGGGCCACAUCAGAGAGGCCUACGACUGCAGCAUGGCCUGCCUGCUCAGUGCCCCCAACGACAAACAAGUGAACAAGUUGGCACAGGAGCUAGCUAACAAACUGGGCCUGAAGAUACGCAAAGCGUACAUCAGCACACAUGUGAGCAUCGCUUUUUUAAAGCUGAAGGCCUGUGUUCAAACAUCAUGGCAACUUGCCUUCUAUCAUAAUAGACGUGGAUUCAGUUGUCCUCAAUCUUCCAUUGCCUUGUCAUAUCCUGUUUCUGUCUUUUGGUCAGUGUGGUAUUCUGAUAUGGCUUCCAUUUACCUGUCAAAUCAGACCAGUCACUUUUAUUAUGGUCUUUGCCUUCUCAUCCAGGCUUCUCCUCACUGUGACUUUCCCCCCGUCGCCCCAUCCGCAACCGGGGGGCCCAAACUGCUCCAGUUCCCCUCAGGCCUGCCGGCCCCCACUCCCCGGCUACCCCCAGCUUUCUUCUACUCAGCCGUCAGCCAGCUCAACUCUCUGGACACCUUUCCAGGCGUGGGUGGGGGGGAUUCCGCGGGCACACUGGACUCUUUAGAUACCUUAAACGACCUGGAUUCCCUUUCGGGCCUUGGUGGUGAUGAUGCCCCCGCUUCCAAAACGGUAUUCGAUUCACUUGAUGCCCUAGACAGUUUCUCUCCACCAGAGGGCACAUUGUCAGCCAAUCCAGUGGUGGUGGUGGGGGGGGGGGGCUUGACUCCCUAUCUGAGUUCAACCUGCCUGUUAACCUACAACCCCCUGGCAGCCACCCAUGACUUCAAGCAGGCAUGUGCGACCUGCUACAGCUGGAUCGGUCCGGGGGUCUUAGAUUAUAAACACCAGGAACACCUGGCCCACCGUUGUCAGCAGAACAUUCUACUGUGUAGGAUCAAAGCUUUACCUCACCCUGUCUGGAACAGAGUGCGGCCCCGUCCUGCCAAGCAGAACUUUACCGGGGCAUUCAUGCUCUGCAAAGAGGUGCUCGAGUCUCAGGUGUGUAAGUACGGCGAGGACUGUACGUUUGCGUACUGCCAGGAGGAGGUGGAUGUGUGGACUUUGGAGAGGAAGGAGGUCCUGAACAGAGAGCUGCUGUUUGAACGGCAGGGCCCCAACGACAAGACAACACUCAGCAUCACGCGCCUGCUGCAGCUGCAGAACGGCAUGUUCAUGUAUCUCUGUGGGGUGUGCUAUGACAGUAGGCCCAGGAUCAUCAGUAAGCGCAGUAAGGAGGUGCCAUCCAUCUGCUCCAACCUUGCGGGCCGACACCAUUUCGAUGACCAGAAGUGCCUGGUUCAUGUGGUGAGGUCCAGCAGCAUGUCCUACACCAGGAUCCGCCCUCUGAACCCACUGUGCCAGUUGGAGAUGUGCCGCCGGGCAGUGCGCUACCGCUGCCAACGUGACCACAGCUGUUCCUUCGCCCACUCCGUCAUAGAGCUUGAAUGCUGGAAGCUGCAGCAGGACAAUGGCAUCACUCAUGAAGAAAUUGUGCAGGAAUCCAAACAACACUGGAAUAAACAAGAGCAAAACGCACACAAACAGAAGGUUGAAAAGAACUUGACACAAACAUCUUCAUCCUCAAGUGGUGGUGGUAGUGAGACCCGAAGAGGUGGAGGAGGCAACAAAUUGAACCUGAACAUGAAGUAUGUCUGUGGUCUGUGCUGGAGGGAUGGGCUGAUCAGUGAAGCAGAUAAAGCACUGAAGUAUUGCACAGCCAAGGCCAGGCACAGUUGGACGAAGGAUCGUCAGGUUCUGUUGGUGAAGUCCUUAGAAAAAAAGAAGUGGGUGAUGGUGCGGACGUUGCCUGCCGCCAAGACAUACCCUCAUCAGUAUGAUAUAUGCUCCCAUGUAGUGAAGCUGAAGAAGUGCCACUACAUUGGGAACUGCACCUUUGCCCACAGUGAGGAGGAGAAGGAAGUGUGGACCUAUAUGAAGAACAAUGGCUUGAAGGACAUGCAGCAGAUGUACGACAUUUGGCUCACAAUGACCAAACAAAACCGUCAGUCAGACCCUGUGCUCGCGCAAAACACGGAAGUGAAGCAAAUCGUCAUGCCAACCGACUAUGCAGACCCAAUGGUGAGGAAAAGCACUUACUCACACAACCUAUCCACCAGACACGUUUGUCAUAUGACCGCUUUUGUAAUAUCUGUCUAA